rnacentral:rRNA from 1 species
GGGGCAGCACGAUGUAGCAAUACAUUGGUGGCGACCGGCGCACGGGUGAGUAACGCGUAUGCAACCUACCUAUCAGAGGGGAAUAACCCGGCGAAAGUCGGACUAAUACCGCAUAAAACAGGGGUUCCACAUGGAAAUAUUUGUUAAAGAAUUAUCGCUGAUAGAUGGGCAUGCGUUCCAUUAGAUAGUUGGUGAGGUAACGGCUCACCAAGUCCACGAUGGAUAGGGGUUCUGAGAGGAAGGUCCCCCACACUGGUACUGAGACACGGACCAGACUCCUACGGGAGGCAGCAGUGAGGAAUAUUGGUCAAUGGGCGAGAGCCUGAACCAGCCAAGUCGCGUGAAGGAUGAAGGAUCUAUGGUUUGUAAACUUCUUUUAUAUGGGAAUAAAGUGAGGAACGUGUUCCUUUUUGUAUGUACCAUAUGAAUAAGCAUCGGCUAACUCCGUGCCAGCAGCCGCGGUAAUACGGAGGAUGCGAGCGUUAUCCGGAUUUAUUGGGUUUAAAGGGUGCGUAGGUGGUUAAUUAAGUCAGCGGUGAAAGUUUGUGGCUCAACCAUAAAAUUGCCGUUGAAACUGGUUGACUUGAGUAUAUUUGAGGUAGGCGGAAUGCGUGGUGUAGCGGUGAAAUGCAUAGAUAUCACGCAGAACUCCGAUUGCGAAGGCAGCUUACUAAACUAUAACUGACACUGAAGCACGAAAGCGUGGGGAUCAAACA